GACGAACGCUGGCGGCGUGCUUAACACAUGCAAGUCGAACGAAGUGGCGAACGGGUGAGUAACGCGUAAUCGACCUGCCCUUCAGAGGGGGACAACAGUUGGAAACGACUGCUAAUACCCCAUACUGAAGAGGGGGUUGGGGUGGGAUUAGCUAGUUGGGGGGGUAACGGCCCACAAAGGCGAUGAUCAGUAGCCGGUCUGAGAGGAUGAACAGCCACAUUGGAACUGAGACACGGCCCAGACUCCUACGGGAGGCAGCAGUAGGGAAUCUUGGACAAUGGACGAAAGUCUGAUCGAGCAACGCCGCGUGAGUGAAGAAGGUUUUCGGAUCGUAAAGCUCUGUUGGUAGGGAAGCGGUAUCUAAAGAAAAAGCCACGGCUAACUACGUGCCAGCAGCCGCGGUAAUUC
rnacentral:rRNA from 1 species